rnacentral:rRNA from 1 species
UUGGAGGGCAAGUCUGGUGCCAGCAGCCGCGGUAAUUCCAGCUCCAAUAGCGUAUAUUAAAGUUGUUGCAGUUAAAAAGCUCGUAGUUGAAUUUCGGGAUCAAUUUAUCGGUCGUGCCUACGGUAUGAACUGGUACAAUUGGUUUCUCCCUUCUGACGAAGCAUGAUGUCAUUAAUUUGGUGUCGUGGGGAAUCAGGACUGUUACUUUGAAAAAAUUAGAGUGUUUAAAGCAAGCAUUAGCUUGAAUACAUUAGCAUGGAAUAAUGAAAUAGGACGUUUGAUCCUAUUUCGUUGGUUUCUAGGAUCGACGUAAUGAUUAAUAGGGACAGUUGGGGGCAUUAGUAUUCAAUUGUCAGAGGUGAAAUUCUUGGAUUUAUUGAAGACUAACUACUGCGAAAGCAUUUGCCAAGGAUGUUUUCAUUAAUCAAGAAUGAAAGUUAGGGGAUCGAAGACGAUCAGAUACCGUCGUAGUCUUAACCAUAAACUAUGCCGACUAGGGAUCGGAUGAUGUUAAUUUUUUAAUGACUCAUUCGGCGCCUUACGGGAAAC